GUCUCACAGAUAAAAAAUCUGUUCUGUUUGUUAACGAGAUGUUCCAACCCAAACUAGAGCUGAGGCUGAAGUUUGAGGGGGGACCGUUUUCACUGCUGCACCACUAAACCUGCAGCAGAGCAGCUGUGUUGUUGGAGAUGUUGAGCAGAGAAACAGCAUGGAGAAAGAAA